rnacentral:pre_miRNA from 1 species
UUCUUAUUGGAUGAUGACUGUCACAUGUCAUGUUGUGAUUGGUCAAUGAAAACAACAAUGCAUUUCAUCUUUCAUGGAGUUGACAUCCAAUCAGAACAUGACACGUGACAAUCAUCAUCC